AUACGGAGGAUCCGAGCGUUAUCCGGAUUUAUUGGGUUUAAAGGGUGCGUAGGCGGAUUUUUAAGUCAGUUGUGAAAUCCUACGGCUCAACCUUGGAAUUGCCGUUGAUACUGGAAGCCUUGAGUGCGUUAAAUGUGGGCGGAAUGCGUGGUGUAGCGGUGAAAUGCUUAGAUAUUACGAAGAACUCCAAUUGCGUAGGCAGCUUACAGGACUGUAGCUGACGCUGAUGCACGAAAGUGUGGGUAUCAAACAGGAUUAGAUACCCUGGUAGUCCACACAGUAAACGAUGAAUACUCGCUGUUUGCGAUAUACAGUAAGCGGCUAAGCAAAAGCAUUAAGUAUUCCACCUGGGGAGUACGGCCGCAACGUUGA
rnacentral:rRNA from 1 species